rnacentral:rRNA from 1 species
CCUCGGAUCAGGUAGGAAUACCCGCUGAACUUAAGCAUAUCAAUAAGCGGAGGAAAAGAAACCAACAGGGAUUGCCUCAGUAACGGCGAGUGAAGCGGCAACAGCUCAAAUUUGAAAUCUGGCCCCCAGGCCCGAGUUGUAAUUUGUAGAGGAUGCUUCUGGCGACGCGCCUUCCGAGUUCCCUGGAACGGGACGCCAAAGAGGGUGAGAGCCCCGUCCGGUCGUGCGCCUAGCCUCUGUGAAGCUCCUUCGACGAGUCGAGUAGUUUGGGAAUGCUGCUCUAAAUGGGAGGUAUACGUCUUCUAAAGCUAAAUACCGGCCAGAGACCGAUAGCGCACAAGUAGAGUGAUCGAAAGAUGAAAAGCACUUUGAAAAGAGGGUUAAAUAGUACGUGAAAUUGCUGAAAGGGAAGCGCUUAUGACCAGACUUGGGCUUGGUGAAUCAUCCGGCGUUCUCGCCGGUGCACUUUGCCGGUCCAGGCCAGCAUCAGUUCGCCUCGGGGGAUAAAGGCUUCGGGAAUGUAGCUCCCUCGGGAGUGUUAUAGACCGUUGCGCAAUACCCUGGGGCGGACUGAGGUACGCGUUCUGCAAGGAUGCUGGCGUAAUGGUCAUCAGUGACCCGUCUUGAACCACGGACC